rnacentral:lncRNA from 1 species
GAAUAUCCACAAUGACCCAAUUGUUGCAGAUCCCUCCAGGGAUAAUGAAAUUGCAUGAAUCCUCUGCAUCCUCUUCCAAGACAGCAGCAGCUUCCUCAUUCUGACCGUCGUGGAUGAAACCUCCACUCUUGAAUAAUCCUUUCUCGUUGAAAACCCCAGAAGAAAAGCCAAUGCCAGCCCGAGACUUGUUAUCUUCCAACUC